rnacentral:lncRNA from 1 species
AACAAAGAUCCUCGUUAUUAAAUGAUGUUAAUUAUUGACUCAUGUAUUUAUCAGACAUCUUUUAAUAAGUUCACUAUCAAGAAUUAAUGGGAAAGCAGGAAUAACAAUACUUUUAGACAGAAAUAGCAGCAUUUAAAAUGUGUUAGCAAUACAGAUUAUUUUUGUAAUAUACUAAAAAGUUUGGAAAACGGAGAAAAAAGAAAAUCACUAAACUACUGAGCUCUGAGGAAAAUUCAAAACGGAAAGUCCCUAAUCAUAUGGCAAAUCGAAAGCUCAAACACAUCAAACUAAUGGAUAACAACCGUCAUAUUCCUUUCUAGAUAGAAACAUUAUCUUUUGUAGAACAUGUCUGAUCAAACCUGGUUUUGUAGCUUGCUAAACCUCUUGACUUGUUUGACAGUGGCAUCGGAUUCAAUUAUAUUGUCAAUGAUGUUCGACAGUGGCAUCAGAUUCAAUUAUAUUGACAAUGAUCUCUGAACAAAACAAAAAAACAUAAUAGGUAAAAAUGUCAAACGUAGCGGAACAGCAGACAACAUUAUGUUAAAAUCCCAAUCACUAUAAACAAAAACAAAUAUGUAACAAAGAAGCACAAAAAGGCAUAUAGACAAAGUACAUCAGCAAAAAUGAAAGACAAGAAUACUAAAAUUAUCAUAGAAAAAAAAUCGCACACAUUUACGAGAUGUAUAAGUACAAAGCCACGUCAUAUGUAUCAAAGAAACACAAAAAGGCAUACCGACAAAGCACGUAAGAUAAAAUGAAAAACAGGUAUACAAAAAUAUCAUAGAUCAAUAACACAAUAAUGGGAUGUAUAAGUACAGAGUCACGUCAAAUGGAUAUCACCAAAAACAAAGUUAAUAGUAAAAGUUAAGUGUUAUUUAUUAAUAUGUGGUCACGUAAUCUUUUAGUUUGUCCUUUUAAAUAACGUUUGUUAAACUAUAGCAAAUAUGUCGUUGUCUAAGUGUGAAAGGGCGACAUGAGUAGUACAUGCUGUAGUGUGUAGGGUGUUGAAACGUUAGACUAACGCUGAAUUGUAUAUAUUUUGUCUCAUUAAAACUAUCAGAUCUUUGGAAUAAAAUCUUCCAUGUAGCUCUUUUAAUUUAGCUCUUUAACCGAAUAUAAUAAAAUUAGUUUAAUAAAUAUUAAAAAAAACAUGUUUGAUAUAUGUUCCUUGUCUCUUCCUAUACGCAUUUCUUUAACAAUAACAUGUCAACAUUAGAACUUUUUGACGCGUUCAAUAUUAUUAUUGAUUUGAUGCUUUGUAUGUUUGUUGCCCCGUCAAUGUCAUGUAUAGGAUUAAAGUGUCACUGUAAAAAGAACCUGACUUUUGUAAUGAUGUUUUUAUGACUGGAGGAAAGUAUACCAUCGUCAGUAGACAUCAUCAGUUCGUGUGGUAAUAAACAUUGCAGUUCGUUAAGGGAACUGUACUUAUAGCAUGUUUAAAUUUCAUAAUUCGAUUCAGAUGCACAAAAAAAUCAAGUCACAAAUAAAAAGUAAUGGAAUCGCACGAACUUCAAAAUGAGCUAUAACGAGUGUAUACGUUGACUGGGCAAUAAACUGUUGCUGUGCAUGCAUCAUCCCUAUGCAAAUGCACAUGCAGUCAUUUAGAAAUAUGACACAAUCAAUAAAUUUGAGGAUCAUACGAGAACUAGUAAUAUGUUAUCUAAAAAUCCAAGACCGCGAAAAUAUGUCGAUAGUGAGUUAAGACACAUAAAAAUUUGCUGUUUCAGAAUCUAAUGCAUUCUUGGUAAUAUUGUCAAAAGCGUACACCAAAACGUUGUGAUUGGUUGAAAACGUUGAAAACCAAUGCCAUAACGUUAUUUUCAUUUUGGUGUACGUUUAAUGAGAUUACCUAUAACGCGAAUUGCAAUGGUGACCUUAAAACUGUUGUAAUGACAAUUUCAGUCGCUAUUGUUUAUAACUAUUUUGGAAAGAAAACACUAAUGAUACAAAAUCGAUAAAAUGUAAACAAAAACGAUCGUAAAUUGAUAUAUGUUAUCGCCAUUCGCUAACGUUGAGCGAAUAUGUAGCAGCUUAUAAAAUGUGAAUUAAGAAUUGAAAAAUUAAAGUCAUCACAUUUGUCGUAGAUUCUAGUUUGAAUUCGUCCUUCUUUGUAAAUUAAACAGUCAAAUUUGCAGGCUUUCCAGAAGAAAUGAUCUCAUUAUCAUCUGUUGUUAUACAUGCAUCGUCUAUCAUAUUAAUUUGCCACUUAUGCUUGGUAAUUAGAACACAGCUGAAACUCGUUCUAAAGCUCUAUAUAUUUCUCAUAAUUUAGUCAUCGAGUCGAAAUUCAUUUCUUUACAUUUAUAUAUAC